CCUCCUGCAUCUGGGUCUGCUGCUUCUGCCAGAGGGAGACGAGAUAACAAGCAGGUAUUGUACAGAACAAUGUGGUGAAGCUUGGGCUCAUCACAGAAUAUCCUGCUUUCUGCCUUCUGUUUUUUUUUUUUACUCUAUAAAUGUAACGUGAAAUCCCUCAAUAUUUAGUCUUCUUUGGUUUGUGGAGCAAAAAUUGAAUUGUGUAUUAAAUAAACCAUUAAACUAACCAUUACCAAGUAAAUGUAUUGCAUAGAAACCUUGCAUGUAACAGCUGUUUGAAUGCUUGUGUUGUCCACGAUGCUUUGAGCAAAUAAACCUGUUAAAACCUUCAGAUUAAUACAGAUAUUGUAAAGUGGUUAAACUAAAAACAAGUCAGUUUUAACAGCUGAAAUUAUCAUAGGUCAUAUAUAUUAAUGAAAAUUUGGUAAUUCUUUCAAAACAGCUACUGUAAACUUAAGAAAUACUAAAGUGUGUCUGUACAUAACUGUGAGUAUAUGAAUCUUUAUGAAGAUAUUUUCUUGUAUGUAGUUUCUUACCAGCAAAGUAUCCACAAGCUCAUUAUCAUGUUUACCCUUCUCCAGCAGGGUGGAAACUUGGACCUUCAGAGUUUUCAUCUCAGCAGACAGAGAUUUGUUCCUGGCUUUAGAGGCUUCCAGCUUUUUCUUCCCAUCCUCGUGGUCUUUCUGGAGGUUCUCAUAUUCCACUGAGAUUCUCUGUACAGGAGAGCAGGGCCUCGCUACAUUAACAAAAUCAUAUUUCAGUUUGUUAAAUCCUGUUUAUAACAUGUAUACGCACCUCGAACGCCUGCCUCUUCUCCUUCUCCAUGGAGUGGAUGUAGCUGAGGUUCCUCUCUUGAGGAGGGGUCUUCAGAAGGACCCCCGUGCCCAGGAACUCGUCCUCUACACUCAGGACGCUUGGCUGUCGCCGCUGAGUCGACUGGUUCAGCUGCUGCUCGAGGUCCCGCACCUGUUGAACAAGGUCAUUCCAUCUAUGUCUGUUACACGGCUUGUGCGACAGCCCGAUAUUCAUGAUUUUACAUUUUAUUGACAAAUUUUAAAAACAUGAAUUAUUGAUAUUGUGUCAAUGAUGCUCACGUUGUGCAAAUCAAUACUGUGCCUCUAAAAUCAUUAUUAUGGUAAUCAUAAUGGGAAUAUCUAUCCACCAUUGUUCUGACCAUCAGCGGAUCGGCACUUCCCUUGUAAAUAUUAGUAUUAGUGGUAUUUUUGGAAUAAUAUCAUUAUUAUUUCUUUUAAUUUUCUAAAAAUAUCCUGCCAGCCCUAAUCUGCAAUCAUGUACUAGUGGCUUUGAAAAGCCCUCUGUUAAUGUGAUUCACCGUGUAGCUUAAAGUUGAGGAGCACAUCACGAUUCAGGAUAUCCUUUAAUUUACCCUCACCCUCGUCUGAAGAACCAGUAUCUGUUGAGCGCGACCUCUGAAGCUCCCCGGGCAGCUCAGUAAUUGCUGAAGGUUGACCUCCUCUCCAACCUCACUGAUUAAAACCUGCAGCAACAGAAGAACAGAUUUUAGAUUAUAGAGGUCACUGCAUGAUCUGCCACUCGUGCAGAAAAAACAGCUUCUACCUUCUGAGCUACUUUCAUCUCCUGUUUGAGGGAUUGGACCUGGUUUCGACAUUCAGACAAUCUCAGCUGGGCAGCGGCUAAUUUUUCCUGCAGAGAUUUCACCGCUGGAUUUUCCUGCUUUUGCGAUCAAAUGGUAAACGAUUUUAGAUUUGAUUGCCAUCAUAGUUAGGAAAUAUCAAUUUUUACUGCAUCUUCUUUAAUAAUUACCUCACAGUCUUCUGAUAAUCUCUUAAUCUGGGAUUUUGUGUCUGUGUUUUGCCCAGAGGGAGAGUGCACCAACGCAGACUGUAGCUAUAGGAAGGAGCAUAACAUUAGAAUUAUCUUUAAUUAUUGUGAACUUUAAUAAACCUUCAUCCGACAAAUCAGAUUAAAUGACACCAGAGUUUGUUACCUCUUUCUCAAGCUCUUUGAUUCUGUUGCUGUUUUGCUUGGACCUGGUCUUUUCUCUCUCGAUCUCAGCGCUCAGCUCCCUGUUCUUCUUGGACAGGUCAACAAUCCUGGUGGCUGCUGCGUCCCCAGCCAAGCCCGACGUGCCUGAUGACGAAGACACACGGUGUUUAAUUUCAAAAUCCUUUUCUCCGAGAAGUUUGAAGAGACGACCAUUUUCAUCUUUGAGCUCUCGCAGCUCAUCAAGCAAAUUCUGCUCGUCGUCCUGCACAUGUCUAUGGGAAGGCCGGUUGUCUGCCUGAAUGUCUUGUUUCAACACACCCGAAUCCUCCUGUGUAACCUCGACAUUGAGCUUGUCCGGUUCUUUCUCCUUCUUCCUGUCCAGCUUUCUCUUCUCCUGCUGCUUCUGCAGCAUUUGGAACUGAAGCUGCAACUCAUCCAGCUCAUCACAGCGGGCCAUGAUCUGCGACACAUACAUCAUGAGUAGAGAAUAACGGUGGGAAAGGAUGGAGAGAAAUCAAUAUCAUGAAAAGAAAGUGUAUAUAUUGUCUAUACUUAUAAAUAAAAAGGGAAUUCCAUGAUAUCCUGAA